UACGUAGGGUGCGAGCGUUAAUCGGAAUUACUGGGCGUAAAGCGUGCGCAGGCGGUUUUGUAAGCCAGAUGUGAAAGCCCCGGGCUCAACCUGGGAAUGGCAUUUGGGACUGCACGGCUAGAGUGUGUCAGAGGGGGGUAGAAUUCCACGUGUAGCAGUGAAAUGCGUAGAGAUGUGGAGGAAUACCGAUGGCGAAGGCAGCCCCCUGGGAUAACACUGACGCUCAUGCACGAAAGCGUGGGGAGCAAACAGG
rnacentral:rRNA from 1 species